AAUGUUCCUGAAAAGCCUCUUUCCUGAGAAGAACUGCAACAGAUUUUCAUGAUAUCAAGAAGGCUUUAUGUUCCUGUAAGAAAGUUUGGCUGUAAGUUCCUAUCAAGAUUCUACAAGAGUUUAUUGCUGAAGUUAUUUCUUUGUGGAAAUUUAUGUUACACUUGCCAGUGCUUUGUUCUGUCAGGACGCUGGAGGGCAAUUCAACUACAUGCGUGAGUCCAGCUGGUGCUCAUCUCCGUAAGAUCGUCAGUCCAGAACCCAGGCAAUGAGCAGCUUCACAUGUGGCAGUGCGGGGGAGUAAUGAGAUAGAAGAAAAUGAGACAAGAUUUGCACCUGGUGCAUGGAAGA